UCUCUCAACCGUCCACGUUGUGCAGAUCUCCCUUACUCACCUUUCUUGCAAUUUUGUUUGGUGAUUGUGGGGUACCUAGGUUUCGACCACUGGAAGUUCGUGGGUUCCCUUAAAUCGGUGUCGCCGGCAAGCACCAUCGUCAGAAACACUGGAUUUAGCUCCGAACUCUGCCCGAGCGGAUUUCAGUUGCUGCCAACGUCUCUAUAUUUCUCCCUUCCAUUGUACUCGAACUCAAACGUUUGGUUGUGAUAUUGUUAGAAGUCAGACCCAAGGCAUAUUUUGUAGACGGAAGUCAGAUGACAUUGAUGGUUCAGCUGAGGAUCAGUAUUAGAGUUUGUGGACAAGAUUAGCUGUGGAUAGUUAUUGGGUAUCUCGUGGUAUUAGUGCUACUGUUGGAUUUUAUUUAUUUAGUAGGUUG